GUGCUAAGCGGGGAGCUAGUGGUGCCCUGUACCUACAAGCCACUUUAGUAGGGCCGAACGCCUUCCUAGGUAUAUUUUAUGGAAAGCAGGAAUUAGCAAGGGACGUUGACGUUAAGGUCUUGUGCAAUAGCGUCUUGUGAACCGUGUCAGGACCUGACGGUAGCAGCACUAAGCAAAUUGCGUUGUGUGCCACAAGGUUGCCUUAAAAUAGUUACCUACUAGGAUACCGUUUCGGUAGAAUAUAUCG
rnacentral:SRP_RNA from 2 species